rnacentral:rRNA from 1 species
GACCUCGAAUCAGGUAGGACUACCCGCUGAACUUAAGCAUAUCAAUAAGCGGAGGAAAAGAAACUAACAAGGAUUCCCCUAGUAACUGCGAGUGAAGCGGGAAGAGCUCAAAUUUGAAAUCUGGCGGUUCCGCCGCCCGAGUUGUAAUCUGGAGAAGCGUUUUCCGUGCCGGACCGUGUACAAGUCCCUUGGAACAGGGCGUCAUAGAGGGUGAGAAUCCCGUCUUUGACACGGACUCCCGGUGCUCUGCGAUGCGCUCUCGAAGAGUCGAGUUGUUUGGGAAUGCAGCUCAAAAUGGGUGGUAAAUUCCAUCUAAAGCUAAAUAUUGGCGAGAGACCGAUAGCGAACAAGUACCGUGAGGGAAAGAUGAAAAGCACUUUGGAAAGAGAGUAAAACAGUACGUGAAAUUGUUGAAAAGGGGAACGCUUGAAGUCAGUCGCAUCUUCUGGGACUCAGCCUUGCUUCUGCUCGGUGCACUUCCCAGUUUUGACGGGNUCAGCAUCGGCUCUGGGGGGCGGACAAAGGCGCGGGGGAAGGUGGCAGCUCCGGCUGUGUAUAGCCCCGCGCUACCCGUUC